rnacentral:rRNA from 1 species
CGGUUGAACCUGCCGGAGGUUACUGCUAUCGAGGUUCGACUAAGCCAUGCGAGUCGAAUGUAGCAAUACAUGGCGUACUGCUCAGUAACACGUGGACAACCUACCCUUGGGACGGGGAUAAACCCGGGAAACUGGGUAUAAUACCCGAUAGAUCUCGACUGCUGGAAUGCAUCGAGUUCGAAAGCUCCGGCGCCCAAGGAUGGGUCUGCGGCCUAUCAGGUAGUAGUGGGUGUAGCGUACCUACUAGCCUACGACGGGUACGGGUUGUGAGAGCAAGAGCCCGGAGAUGGAUUCUGAGACACGAAUCCAGGCCCUACGGGGUGCAGCAGGCGCGAAAACUUUACAAUGCUGGAAACAGCGAUAAGGGGACCUCGAGUGCCAGGUUACAAAUCUGGCUGUCGUGAUGCCUAAAAAGCAUUGCAUAGCAAGGGCCGGGCAAGACCGGUGCCAGCCGCCGCGGUAACACCGGCGGCUCGAGUGGUAACCGUUAUUAUUGGGUCUAAAGGGUCUGUAGCCGGCCGGAUAAGUCUCUUGGGAAAUCUGGCAGCUUAACUGUCAGGCUUUCAGGGGAUACUGUCUGGCUCGAGGCCGGGAGAGGUGAGAGGUACUUCAGGGGUAGGGGUGAAAUCUUGUAAUCCUUGAAGGGCCACCAGUGGCGAAGGCGUCUCACCAGAACGGACCUGACGGCAAGGGACGGAAGCUAGGGGCACGAACCGGAUUAGAUACCCGGGUAGUCCUAGCCGUAAACGAUACUCGCUAGGUGUCGGCCACGGUGCGACCGUGGUCGGUGCCGUAGGGAAGCCGUGAAGCGAGCCACCUGGGAAGUACGGCCGCAAGGCUGAAACUUAAAGGAAUUGGCGGGGGAG